rnacentral:rRNA from 1 species
AUGAACGCUGGCGGUGUGCCUAACGCAUGCAAGUCGAACGAACCUCGCAAGAGGUUAGUGGCGAACGAGUGAGUAACGCGUAGGAAUCUGCCCCGAACUGGGAAAUACCCAGCCGAAAGGUUGGCUAAUGUCCCAUAGUCCCGAAAGGGUAAAGGCGUAAGCCGGUUUGGGAGGAGCCUGCGUCCUAUCAGCUUGUUGGUGGGGGUAAUUGCCUACCAAGGCUAUGACGGGUAGCUGGUCUGAGAGGAUGGUCAGCCACGAUGGGACUGAGACACGGCCCAUACUCCUACGGGAGGCAGCAGCUGGGAAUCGUACGCAAUGGGCGAAAGCCUGACGUCGCAACACCGCGUGAAGGAAGAAGGCCUUCGGGUCGUAAACUUCUUUUAUCUGGGACGAUUAUGACGGUACCAGAUGAAUAAGGACCUGCUAACUACGUGCCAGCAGCCGCGGUAAUACGUAGGGUCCGAGCGUUAUCCGGUAUUAUCGGGCGUAAAGAGUGCGUAGGCGGUUUUGUAAGACAAUGGUUAAAUCUCCGGGCUCAACCCGGAAAACUGCCGUUGUGACUGCGAGACUAGUCGAUAGCAGGGGCAAGGCGGAAUUGUCGGUGUAGGAGUGAAAUCCGUUGAGAUCGACAAGAACACCAAUGGCGAAGGCAGCUUGCUAGGCUAUAUGAGACGCUGAGGCACGAAAGCGUGGGGAGCGAACGGGAUUAGAUACCCCGGUAGUCCACGCCGUAAACGAUGCACACUAGCUAUCAGAAGUAUCGACCCUUCUUGUAGCGUAGCUAACGCGUUAAGUGUGCCGCCUGUGAAGUACGGCCGCAAGGCUAAAACAUAAAGGAAUUGGCGGGGGCUCGCACAAGCGGUGGAGCAUGUGGUUUAAUUCGACGGCAACCGGAGAACCUUACCAGGGUUUGACAUCUCCCGAACGUCCUGGAAACAGGACCGUGCCCGCAAGGGGAACGGGGAUGACAGGUGUUGCACGGCCGCCGUCAGCUCGUGGCGUGAGCUGUGCCCUUAAGUGGGUAAUGAGCGAAACCCUCGUCGUCUGUUGGAUAUUUCAGACGAGACUGCCCUCAUUUGGGGGAGGAAGGUGAGGACGACAUCAGGUCAGCGUGGCCCUUACACCCUGGGCUACACACGUGCUACAAUGGCAUCGACAAUGGGUUUGCCAAGUCGCGAGACGGAGCUAAUCCCAUCAAAAGAUGCCUCAGUUCGGAUUGAAGGCUGCAACUCGCCUUCAUGAAGCCGGAAUCGCUAGUAACCGUGGGUCAGCUAUACCACGGUGAAUACGUUCUCGAGCCUUGCACACACCGCCCGUCAAGUCAGCCGAGUCGGCAAUGCCCCGAAUUCUGAUUAUUAUUUGGAACACGGCAGGGUCGGCAAGGAGGACU